rnacentral:rRNA from 1 species
AUACGUAGGGUGCGAGCGUUAAUCGGAAUUACUGGGCGUAAAGCGUGCGCAGGCGGUUUUGUAAGUCAGAUGUGAAAUCCCCGGGCUUAACCUGGGAACUGUGUUUGAAACUGCAAGGCUAGAGUGUGGCAGAGGGGGGUGGAAUUCCGCGUGUAGCAGUGAAAUGCGUAGAUAUGUGGAGGAACACCGAUGGCGAAGGCAGCCCCCUGGGUCAACACUGACGCUCAGGCACGAAAGCAUGGGGAGCAAACAGGAUUAGAAACCCGUGUAGUCC